GUGUCAGCCGCCGCGGUAAUACAGAGGGGGCAAGCGUUAUUCGGAAUUAUUGGGCGUAAAGGGCGCGUAGGCGGCCUUGUAAGUCUUGGGUGAAAUCCCUCAGCUCAACUGAGGAACUGCCUCGGAUACUGCAAGGCUUGAGGCCGGGAGAGGGUAGUGGAAUUCCCAGUGUAGCGGUGAAAUGCGUAGAUAUUGGGAGGAACACCGGUGGCGAAGGCGGCUACCUGGACCGGUUCUGACGCUGAUGCGCGAAAGCGUGGGUAGCAAACAGGAUUAGAAACCCCCGUAGUCC
rnacentral:rRNA from 1 species